UUUCGUUGGGGGGCGUUAUUCUUUUUCGGUUUUGCAUCGGUUUAAUAUAUAUAAGUAGAGCAGGGACUCGCAUGAUUGCAACUUGUGUCAUUAGAGGAUCACGCCCAAUGGUCCUUGUAGGCUCAAUGACUCCAGAGAGUUUGAUGUGAGGCUCGGCGACACGAGUUUCACGUAAGAGGUUUCUUCCCAUUUCAUGGAUAACAAACAUCAAACUCUCAAUCACUGAGCCUAUCAUUGGACGAGAUCCUCCAAAUACAUGAGUUGGAAUCAUGCCAAUCCCUGCUUUGCUCAAGUAUACUAAGCCACUCAAAUUGACCUACCAUGCAAAGCUUCAAAAGAACAGUGUCCCCCGAAAGAUAUUGGUUUUGAAUGUGAAUCCCAACUGCGCGUUAUGUCAUAGAUUCCGAGAUCAUUGUUCUUAUAUUUGCAACGAACUGUUAGAGUAGUUUCAGCCGGCAAAUUGCUAUUGAUCUCGUCGUACCUACCACACACAAGUUAGAGCGGAAUGCAUCAUACAGCUCCACAUUUGGCCACUGCAAAUCACCACCAGUUCUUCAAAUGAUGCACCCUGUUGAUACGAUCAAGAGGAGGAUUCAAAGUCAAGCAAUUCUCACUGGGAGUCAGCUCGCCCAAGAAUAUGCAGAGGAGUCCCUGGACGAUCCUUGCAAUUGGUGAUUUUGUCCAUGCUGAGUUGCUGGUAACAUGCUCAGGUUAUCCUGCUCAGUAACAAAUGCGAAGAGCUCUUCCACAAGAUGCAUCGAUCCUUCAUUCUGUUGACCGUGUAGCCCCUGCUCGCCAUAAGUUUUCGGGAGCCACCCUGCAUCGGGUUUCAAUUGCAGAUUUGGCGGACUCUCGCGCAGAGAGUGGGCUGUUCGUGCACGCGCAGUUCAGAGGCUAUUCCAUUGGUCCGCGACUUAUAUUUCAGCAAGAAAACCCACACAACCUUUGACCUGCCCCACACUCGUCUCUUUUGAAUAACGCACACAGUACCAUUGCGCUGCCGGUCGUCUCUGACACCACUGGAGUUGUCAUGGUGCGGCUGCCUCCUUCUGCACAUCUGGAUCAGAUUCCUCUGUUUCGUCGAUGUCUCUCGACAUGAUGUUCAAUGUUGCCGCGUCGCUGUCACCCGCCCUGUCACUACCACGAUCCCAUAGAGGGUGAGUGCUGAACAUCACCCGGGUUUACUUGUCGAAAGUGCUCUAAUUCUCAAAGCAGAAUCUAGCUGAGUAAAAGCUGGUGACUUGGAGCACGUUCCUCAGACGAAUUUUAAAGAGAAAGAAAAACAAACACAUUCAGCUGAGUGUUCUUCAAGCAGAGUCGCCAGUCCAGCAUGUUUGAUUUGUCUUCACAAGACCAUGACCAUGGUGAUGCCUCUCCAGACUUCUCCAAACAAGAUUAGGGGGUCGCAACAAUCAGUGUCGUUGCAAUUCACAUGAUGCCAUGGUCGAGCCGGAGCCAUCGCCACAGUGCCGGAAUCCCACCGCCGCUCCCAGAUUGCCUCUAAGUGUCAUUGGCACAUCAGCCAACGCUACCACCAAGUUAGUCUCGACUGCCUCUAAAAUAAUGAGUUUUUGUGCCAAAGUCGCUGCCCGUGAUGAGAAUGAGUUGAGGCACAUUUUGAUGUGAAUUGGGCAAACAAGAAUGCUCCAUCCUUGAUUCAAUGCAAAACCUCCCAAGCUCGAGUGUAUGAUUCUAGGAUCGAUGAUCAAUAUU